UGCAUCGACGGCCUAGACUUUCGGCGUUCUCGAGCUGCUCUUUCAGCUGGGCACAGCAGGAAUGCUCCGACUGACCUAUCCGGAACAGCAGCAUACUCGGUACCUUCAUGUAGACAGGCAUGCCAUAAUCAUCAUCUACAGGGAGUGAAACUUGGCCUUCCAAGUACGCAUCUAGAAAAUCCUGGACUUCGUUUGGCAGCAGAAGUGCUUCGUCCCAAUCCAGCUCUUCCAUU
rnacentral:lncRNA from 1 species